rnacentral:lncRNA from 1 species
UAUUAAUUUCACUUACUUUUUUCCACAGGGACGUUGAUCCAAUUUUGGGAGUCCCUGGGUUUGGAAAGGAGGGUCCUUUCUCCUGUAAGGACAGCUGGUUACCACCACUACCAGCACUCUGUGGAGUGUAGGAAGAAUGCCCAGCCGCCAUCGCUCAAGUGCCGGAGGAAGCCUGGGCCCCGAUCCACCGCGGGAAGGAGAACCACACCUGCUCCCGCCCCAGCCGCCAUCGCUCAAACACCGGGAAGGUAGCGU